rnacentral:rRNA from 1 species
GGAGGUAGUGACAAUAAAUCUCAAUACGAAGCCUUUGGUUUUGUAAUUGAAUUGAGAACAAUGUACAAUCGUUAUCGAUAAACAAUUGGAGGGCAAGUCUGGUGCCAGCAGCCGCGGUAAUUCCAGCUCCAAUAGCGUAUAUUAACGUUGUUGCAGUUAAAAAGCUCGUAGUUGAAGUUUAGAUAAUUUAUUGAAAGUGUUUGUAUUCGUACAUUCUACUUUUAUGUAAGUUAUCGACAUCCAGGUGGGUGCCAUGGUUCCUUCGGGGGUUGUGGUACUAGACUGGUCAUUUACUGUGAGAAAAUUAGAGUGUUUAAAGCAGACUGUUCAGUUUGAAUAGAUUAGCAUGGAAUAAUAAGAUUGGCUUUCAUAGUCGAUUUUUUGGUUUGUUUAUGAAAGCAAGAUUAAUAGGGACAGUUGGGGGUAUUCAUAUUCAAUAGCUAGAGGUGAAAUUCUAUGAUUUAUGGAAGAUGAACAAGUGCGAAAGCA